rnacentral:lncRNA from 1 species
UGUUGUUAUAUGAUUUGUCUAUUUACUCUGAGUAGUCAGGUCCAGACCAUGUGUUGUUUGUUGUUAUAUUUGUUUGUCUAUUUACUCUGAGUAGUCAGGUCCAGACCAUGUGUUGUUUGUUGUUAUAUUUGUUUGUCUAUUUACUCUGAGUAGUCAGGUCCAGACCAUGUGUUGUUGUUGUUAUAUUUGUUUGUCUAUUUACUCUGAGUAGUCAGGUCCAGAUCAUGUGUUGUUUGUUAUAUUUGUUUGUCUAUUUACUCUAGAGUCAGUCAGGUGACCAUGUGUUGUGUUGUGUUGUUAUAUUUGUUUGUCUAUUUACUCUGAGUAGUCAGGUCAAGACCAUGUGUUGUUGUUGUUAUUUUUGUUUUCUCUGAGUUCAGGUCCAGACAGUGUUUGUGUGUGUAUAUUUUGUCUAUUUACUUGAGUAGUCAGUUUGUUGUGUGUUGUAUAUUGUUUGUCUAUUUACUCUGAGUAGUCAGGUCCAGACCAUGUGUUGUGUGUUGUUAUAUUUGUUUGUCUAUUUACUCUGAGUAGUCAGGUCCAGACCAUGUGUUGUGUGUUGUUGUAUUUGUUUGUCUAUUUACUCUGAGUAGUCAGGUCCAGACCAUGUGUUGUGUGUUGUUAUAUUUGUUUGUAGUCAGGUCCAGACCAUGUGUUGUGUGUUGUUAUAUUUGUUUGUCUAUUUACUCUGAGUAGUCAGGUCAGGUCCAGAUCAUGUGUUGUGUGUUGUUAUAUUUGUUUGUCUAUUUACUCUGAGUAGUCAGGUCCAGACCAUGUGUUGUUAGUUGUUGUAUUUGUAUUGUCUAUUUACUCUGAGUAGUCAGGUCCAGACCAUGUGUUGUUUGUUGAUAUAUUUGUUUGUCUAUUUACUCUGAAUAGUCAGGUCAGGUCCAGACCAUGUGUUGUGUGUUGUUAUAUUUGUUUGUCUAUUUACUCUGAGUAGUCAGGUCAGGUCUAGACCAUGUGUUGUGUGUUGUCAUAUUUGUUUGUCUAUUUACUCUGAGUAGUCAGGUCCAGACCAUGUGUUGUGUGUUGUGAUAUUUGUUUGUCUAUUUACUCUGAGUAGUCAGGUCAGGUCCAGACCAUGUGUUGUUAUAUUUGUUUGUCUAUUUACUCUGAGUAGUCAGGUCCAGACCAUGUGUUGUUAGUUGUUGUAUUUGUUUGUCUAUUUACUCUGAGUAGUCAGGUCCAGACCAUGUGUUGUUAGUUGUUGUAUUUGUUUGUCUAUUUACUCUGAGUAGUCAGGUCCAGACCAUGUGUUGUUAGUUGUUGUAUUUGUUUGUCUAUUUACUCUGAGUAGUCAGGUCAGGUCCAGACCAUGUGUUGUUUGUUGUUGUAUUUGUUUGUCUAUUUACUCUGAGUAGUCAGGUCCAGACCGUGUGUUGUGUGUUGUUAUAUUUGUUUGUCUAUUUACUCUGAGUAGUCAUGUCAGGUCCAGACCAUGUGUUGUUAUAUUUGUUUGUCUAUUUACUCUGAGUAGUCAGGUCCAGACAAUGUGUUGUUAGUUGUUAUUUGUUUGUCUAUUUACUCUGAGUAGUCAGGUCCAGACCAUGUGUUGUUUGUUGUUAUAUUUGUUUGUCUAUUUACUCUGAGUAGUCAGGUCCAGACCAUGUGUUGUGUGUUGUUAUAUUUGUUUGUCUAUUUACUCUGAGUAGUCAGGUCCAGAUCAUGUGUUGUGUGUUGUUAUAUUUGUUUGUCUAUUUACUCUGAGUAGUCAGGUCCAGACCAUGUGUUGUCAUGUUUGUUUGUCUAUUUACUCUGAGUAGUCCGGUGAGGUCCAGACCAUGUGUUGUGUGUUGUUAUAUUUGUUUGUCUAUUUACUCUGAGUAGUCAGGUCCAGACCAUGUGUUGUAUGUUGUUAUAUUUGUUUGUCUAUUUACUCUGAGUAGUCAGGUCCAGACCAUGUGUUGUGUGUUGUUAUAUUUGUUUGUCUAUUUACUCUGAGUAGUCAGGUCCAGACCAUGUGUUGUUUGUUGUUAUAUUUGUUUGUCUAUUUACUCUGAGUAGUCAGGUCCAGACCAUGUGUUGUUAGUUAUUGUAUUUGUUGUCUAUUUACUAUGAGUAGUCAGGUCCAGACCAUGUGUUGUGUGUUGUUUUAUUUGUUUGUCUAUUUACUCUGAGUAGUCAGGUCAGGUUCAGACCAUGUGUUGUGUUGUUACAUUUGUUUGAUAUCACAUUUGAGUAGCCAGGUCCAGACUAUGUGUUGUAAAUUGUUAUAUGCAGUGAGGUCCAAACCAUGUGUUGUGUGUUGUUGUAUUUUAUGUCUUUUUACUCUGAGUAUUCAGGUCAGGUCCAGAUCAUGUGUUGUCUGUUGUUACAUUUGUUUGUAUAUUUACUCUUGAGUAGUCAGGUCCAGACCAUGUGUUGUUUGUUGUUAUAUUAAUUGUCUAUUUACUCUGAGUAGUCAGGUCCAGACCAUGUGUUGUGUGUUGUUCUAUUAAUUGUCUAUUUACUCUGA